rnacentral:rRNA from 1 species
CAGGACGAACGCUGGCGGCGUGCUUAACACAUGCAAGUCGAACGAUGAUGCCCAGCUUGCUGGGUGGAUUAGUGGCGAACGGGUGAGUAACACGUGAGUAACCUGCCCCUGACUCUGGGAUAAGCGUUGGAAACGACGUCUAAUACUGGAUAUGAUCACUGGCCGCAUGGUCUGGUGGUGGAAAGAUUUUUUGGUUGGGGAUGGACUCGCGGCCUAUCAGCUUGUUGGUGAGGUAAUGGCUCACCAAGGCGACGACGGGUAGCCGGCCUGAGAGGGUGACCGGCCACACUGGGACUGAGACACGGCCCAGACUCCUACGGGAGGCAGCAGUGGGGAAUAUUGCACAAUGGGCGAAAGCCUGAUGCAGCAACGCCGCGUGAGGGAUGACGGCCUUCGGGUUGUAAACCUCUUUUAGUAGGGAAGAAGCGAAAGUGACGGUACCUGCAGAAAAAGCACCGGCUAACUACGUGCCAGCAGCCGCGGUAAUACGUAGGGUGCAAGCGUUGUCCGGAAUUAUUGGGCGUAAAGAGCUCGUAGGCGGUUUGUCGCGUCUGCUGUGAAAUCCCGAGGCUCAACCUCGGGCUUGCAGUGGGUACGGGCAGACUAGAGUGCGGUAGGGGAGAUUGGAAUUCCUGGUGUAGCGGUGGAAUGCGCAGAUAUCAGGAGGAACACCGAUGGCGAAGGCAGAUCUCUGGGCCGUAACUGACGCUGAGGAGCGAAAGCAUGGGGAGCGAACAGGAUUAGAUACCC